CCCUUAGAUGUUCUGGGCCGCACGCGCGCUACACUGACGGAGGCAGCGAGCGUGUCCUUCGCCGGCAGGUGCGGGCAAUCUUGCGAGUCUCCGUCGUGCUGGGGAUAGAUGGUUGCAAUUGUCGAUCUUGAACGAGGAAUUCCUAGUAAGCGCGAGUCAUCAGCUCGCGCUGAUUACGUCCCUGCCCUUUGUAUACACCGCCCGUCGCUACUACAGAGUGCCCGUGUCCAAGAAACGGUUGGACCUGUGCGGCCUCUCCGGGCGACCGGAGGGCCGUUACGGGAAAGACCCUUUAUUUGACGCGGGUCGAUGAAGUAAAAGUCGUAACA
rnacentral:rRNA from 1 species